rnacentral:rRNA from 1 species
AGAGUUUGAUCCUGGCUCAGAGCGAACGCUGGCGGCAGGCUUAACACAUGCAAGUCGAGCGGGCACUUCGGUGUCAGCGGCAGACGGGUGAGUAACACGUGGGAACGUACCCUUUGGUUCGGAAUAACGCUGGGAAACUAGCGCUAAUACCGGAUACGCCCUUUUGGGGAAAGGCUUGCUGCCGAAGGAUCGGCCCGCGUCUGAUUAGCUAGUUGGUGGGGUAAUGGCCUACCAAGGCGACGAUCAGUAGCUGGUCUGAGAGGAUGAUCAGCCACACUGGGACUGAGACACGGCCCAGACUCCUACGGGAGGCAGCAGUGGGGAAUAUUGGACAAUGGGCGCAAGCCUGAUCCAGCCAUGCCGCGUGAGUGAUGAAGGCCUUAGGGUUGUAAAGCUCUUUUGUCCGGGACGAUAAUGACGGUACCGGAAGAAUAAGCCCCGGCUAACUUCGUGCCAGCAGCCGCGGUAAU